CCUACGGGAGGCUGCAGUAGGGAAUAUUGCUCAAUGGGGGAAACCCUGAAGCAGCAACGCCGCGUGGAGGAUGAAGGUCUUCGGAUUGUAAACUCCUUUUGUUAGAGAAGAUAAUGACGGUAUCUAACGCAUAAGCACCUGCCAACUCCGUGCCAGCAGCCGCGGUAAUACGGAGGGUGCAAGCUGUACUCGGAAUCACUGGGCGUAAAGAGAGGGUAGGCGGUAUAGCAAGUCAUAUGGGAAAUCCUAUGGGUUAACCAUAGAACUGCAUUUGAAACUGUUAUUCUAGAGUAUGGGAGAGGUAGGUGGAAUUCGUGGUGUAGGGGUGAAAUCCGUAGAGAUCA
rnacentral:rRNA from 1 species